rnacentral:rRNA from 1 species
GAUGAACGCUAGCUACAGGCUUAACACAUGCAAGUCGAGGGGUAACGAGAGGAAAGCUUGCUCUCCUUGUCGACGACCGGCGCACGGGUGAGUAACGCGUAUCCAACCUGCCCCCAACUAGGGAAUAACCUUGCGAAAGUAAGACUAAUACCCUAUAAUUUCCUCAGAUGUCAUCUGACGAGGAAUAAAGAUUUAUCGGUUGUGGAUGGGGAUGCGUCUGAUUAGCUUGUUGGCGGGGUAACGGCCCACCAAGGCAACGAUCAGUAGGGGUUCUGAGAGGAAGGCCCGCCACAUUGGAACUGAGACACGGUCCAAACUCCUACGGGAGGCAGCAGUGAGGAAUAUUGGUCAAUGGGCGGAAGCCUGAACCAGCCAAGUAGCGUGCAGGAUGACGGCCCUAUGGGUUGUAAACUGCUUUUAUACAGGAAUAAAGUUAGCCACGUGUGGUUAUUUGUAGGUACUGUAUGAAUAAGGACCGGCUAAUUCCGUGCCAGCAGCCGCGGUAAGAC